CUAUUUAUGUGUUGGUGUGUAUUAAAGUAAUUACCACUACCAUUUUAUUUUCUAUCACGAAACUAGAAUUUCUGUUAGGAUGCAAUCUUUCCAGCUAAAUUUGAAAAAAAAAAUGAGGGAAA